rnacentral:rRNA from 1 species
CCUACGGGUGGCAGCAGUGAGGAAUAUUGGUCAAUGGGCGAGAGCCUGAACCAGCCAAGUCGCGUGAAGGAUGAAGGAUCUAUGGUUUGUAAACUUCUUUUAUAUGGGAAUAAAGUGAGGAACGUGUUCCUUUUUGUAUGUACCAUAUGAAUAAGCAUCGACUAACUCCGUGCCAGCAGCCGCGGUAAUACGGAGGAUGCGAGCGUUAUCCGGAUUUAUUGGGUUUAAAGGGUGCGUAGGUGGUUAAUUAAGUCAGCGGUGAAAGUUUGUGGCUCAAACAUAAAAUUGCCGUUGAAACUGGGUGACUUGAGUAGAGUUGAGGUAGGCGGAAUGCGUGGUGUAGCGGUGAAAUGCAUAGAUAUCACGCAGAACUCCGAUUGCGAAGGCAGCUGACUAAACUAGAACUGACACUGAAGCACGAAAGCGUGGGGAUCAACAGGAUUAGAUACCCGUGUAGUC